GGAGCGGAGCGGUUCCUGCGGCCUGUCACUCCCGGGCGGUGGCACUGCUCUCUGUCCCCUUCCCCAUCCUCGGGCCCGCCGCCACCAGCCAGGGCAGCUGUGGUUCUUCUCAGUGAAUAUAUUGCGGAAACCAUAUUCAGUUACAGUAUGCUACCCUAUACUUGGAAGAGUACUUACAAAAAAAUUUUCCACUUGGAAUUCAUAAGUGAACGGCUUCAAGGCACCAAGAAUGAGCAAUUUAGUAUGUUCAGACAAUGCUGAAAGAAACUUCAGGGCUCCCCAGAGAACUUGUGGAUGCCCCAUCCCUGGAAGUGUUCAAGGCCAGGUUGGAUGGGGCUCUGAGCAUCCUGGGCUAGUGGAAGGUCUCCUGCCAGGGAAGGGGAAUGGAACUUGAUCAUCUUCAAAUUCCCUUCCAACCCAAACCAUUCUGUGAUUCUAAGGUGUCUAUAUCUUGUGCAUCCAGGAGAGGAAGAAAUAAAAAAAUUUAAAAAAUCAGUAUGCAAAAACUAUACUGAAAAAAUACAGGUUUUUGUUUGCCUGUGAGUGGGAUAUGAAAUCUCAAAGCAUCUUUUCCUCUAAGAACUGACAUACCCAGUUCUAAAGAGUAUAAAUAAAGGAAGGGGAACAGAAGUAAGAAAAGAUGGAAGGACACCAAUGGCGUCUUAAUACAAAAGC